UGUGUGAGUGAUGUUACUGAAGGUCCAAUUACCCCACUCCCUAAAUCCCGAUUCCUCAACAACCCAUAAAUUCCUAACCCCUAAAAAGCCGGCUACGCACUUGUAACGCCUCUAGUGUUUCGGCUGUGUAAGGACAGCGGCGGUUGCUUACUAGCAAGUGAUCCGUGUGUUCGUCUGCCGGCAAGUACCACAAAAAAAGGAAUGUAAUUUACAAUAGUACCGUAAAACAUGGCAACUUUACCAUAUUUUGUAACAAAAAUCGAAAUAUAUUUUUAACCAUAAGACGCAUAGAAACCAAAACUAUAUAUUUAAAAUUGUAGUCUAUCUGGCUCACUUUACUGUAAUCGUCAUUAUAUACAAACGCUUACUUUAGCCGUAGUAAAGAAAAAACAACAUGGGUAAAGAUACCAAAUUUUUGGCAACUUUACCUACGCGCCGUAUUCAUCGUGUAUUGCAUAUUAAAGAGUUGUUGAGGUACAGAGGGCUUCAUCUAGGACCUCUUCGUAUUAUAAUGCAAACAAUAUGAGGAAAUCUAUAAAGAUAACGGCUACACAGACAGUAGGUAUAGUUGCCACGGGUUUCAUCGUAAUUUACAUACAAAUAAUUUGUUACGCUCGGGGUUGUCAAAAAAAGAGGAUUUUUUUAUGACAUGUAUAUUUAAAAAAGAAAUUAAUAAACCUUAAACCUAAAGUAAAAAAAAGCAUAAAUAUCUGACAAAAAUAUUGUUCCCUUUUAAACUAAAUUAAGUUCUAAAAUUUUAAGUAUUUAUGUUUAAAAUUGUAAAAAAAGGCUACAAAAUAAUGUUUAAUCUUUUGACUUUUUAAUUUUUUGACUUCACUAUCUCCAUAGCUAAUUUUAACAUUACUUUCGUAUACUUUUUAUAUUGUCUAGCUCCGAGUUUUCUGCGGUUUUGUUUCAUGUGAGCCAUUUUGGCUCUAAAACAAAAGGUAUUAUUAAAUACAUUAUAACUUAUCAUCCAGGAUAUUCACUAUUAUGCUGGGAAAUUUAGGUAUUCGAAAAUGGUUACAUACACACAAACAAGGAAAAAAACAUUUAUUGCCAACCCUAACUGUAAGUAAAGUUGCCACAAAGCAGGCCGUGGCAACUUUACCUAACCUGUGUCAACAUUACCGAAGCGAUUAUUUAUCAAUAAAUUAAAGAAAAAGCAAUUGCUGACAUUACAACAGUAAUCCCAACUAUAUUAUACAUACAAGAUCAAAAUUUCACUCACCUGUGACAAAUAAUUUAGGCUCUGUGAGCACUAUUUAGGAACUACUAACUUUUAGCACAUUUUCACGCACUACACUGUAACGGCCAUUACUGGCAUAAUAGCAGUCUUACGUCUACGCAAAAUAUAGUAAAUAUUUCCUUUUGAAGUCUAAAAAAUACUACUAUUACAAAACAGAAUUCUAAUGGGUAGAUUUUUAGAUAAAUGAGUUUAUACCGAAUACCUAUAGUAUGGUAAAGUUGCCAAGGGUCUAGUAAAGUUGCCAUAGUUUACCGGUAUUAAAAUCAAUUCAAAAAUUUUAUUAUAAGAUUGACCUAUGAAUAAAUUAAUGAUAUUUUAUUUAUAGUGUCAAUUUAUUUAAUUCUAUUUAACAUCAUUAAGAGCAUAUCCGCACAGCACAAUUUGCGCGGAUUUAUUUCCGCACAGCAUUGCGUCUUUGCGUAAACUUCAGAUUAUUUCUAGCGCCAAUUUUAUUGCCUGUGCGGAUACUUCCAUGACAAAUUCUUCUUCCAUUCCAUUAGAAAAUUGGAAACAAUUUAUAUAUUUUUUAUCCUAAAUGUUAGUAAGUAAUGUAGUGUACAUACAUAUGUACCUACAUAAUUAUAUAGAAUUAAUAAAUGGUGAUAUGGAUAUGGGUAACUAAUUUUAAUAUUUUUGUAUAUUAUUCUUGCGAUGACUAAUCAAGAUUACUGUUAUUUUUUUAUUUUAUUUUACUAGUAAAAGAUCUCAAGUGUUGUUUUUUAUUGUGCCAUAGUCGAAUAUUUUGUGGUAUCGAUUAUGGCAAUUUUAAUAAGAUAAAAAGACUAAUUACUCGUAUAUCUCAUCGUUAUUAUUUUAGUAAUUGCCAGAAUGUUAUUUUAUCUACCUCCUUAAGGUCUUUUACUAUUUUUAUUAGGUAUUAAAUAGAACAAUUAUAUGGCAACAAAGGUAUAUGCUUUAAUAAAAUUUUAUUACUUACAAUUUUUUUUUAUUUAUUAUUAAGAAUAUUUGAGAUACUAUACAUUUUGUGAGUUGUUUUGUAUAAAAUAUAAUCAGACCCUGAAAGACAUGUGCCAAAAAGCUACUAUGGUUUAACAACUAAGAAUUCCUUCUAAGAACUACUUUUCUCUUCUUUCAGUUCACUUAAUCGACACACUCAACGGUAAAACGUGGGCCUUAUUCCGUGAACACCCAUAUUUCUACAGAUACAAAACUAAAAAUGGACAUAAAUGGGUAUGCACCACGUUUCCAAGAUGCAAGUCGUUCAUCUUUCUCGAUGACGACAACAAUUUACUGGAGUAUCUAUGGAACCAUGAACAUAAGAACAGACCGAUGAUCAAAUGCCCCAACGGAAAAUACAUGCACUAACUGUUACCUUGGACAACUACAAUAGGGAUGAUGACGGGUUCACAUAAUCGACACGAGCAGAGGUAAAAAGCCUUAUUCCGAGAUCACCCUUAUUUCUACAGAUACGAUAUUUCCAAAGUGCAAGUCGUUUCUUUAUCUUAAUCAUAAUAAUAAAGUGGGAUAUUUCUGAAAUGAUGAACAUACAAACGGACCGGUAAUCAGAUGUUCGAAUGGGGAAAAACAUAUUAUAUACGUAGGACGUAAAUGUAUAAUGAAAUAAUCUUUAUCUUUAUUCUUAUUAAAAAAAAAUACACAAAUCAACUCAAAAUUGUUUUAUUUUUAAUAUAGCUUCCAAUAAGCCAUAACCUUAAUACCCAAUUCCUUUUGAAUCCCUGUUGAAGAACUUAAAAAGCUUAAUGUUUACUAUAAACAGAAGAUGUUUUAUAUGAAAAUAUUUUAGGUAUCAUUACAAAAUCAAUUUGAAUGCUAUGAACUAUGUGUUAUUUGUAUUUUUAAUAUUUCUUUGUUACCUAUGUCUAUAUACUGACUUGAGACAACAAAUUAAACGAAUAUGCUUUGCAUUUCUUCCUUCCAAAAGUAUUUUGUUUUGUUUUAUUAUUUGGUUUUUAAUAUGGUAUCUUUAUUUCAGUGAAACUAAUAACAAUGCUCAACGGUAAACAGCUGGUUGUGUACAAAGGAUAUACAUUUUAUAAUCAGUAUGCUAAAAAAGGACCUGCUUCGCUCGAUAGAUGGCGGUGUACCAGUCAACCGAGGUGUAAAUGCUUUCUGAUUCUAGAUAAGUCGCUGGUAAUCCACGAAGCUCAAUGUGACCAUAUGCAUCCCAAAAAGACUCUCAUUAAAAAUCAUUGUGGAAGGUAUAUUCGAGUUUAGAAUAUAAGUUAUUCAUUGAAUAUACUCAGUAGCUAUGUACUCGGUGAUACCUCAAAAAAAAACACAAAAAGUUAACGGCGUCAUUAUCUUCAAACAAAAGUUAACAAUUCUGCCGAUUGGAACUUGAAUUUGGUUUCAAUAAAUUAAAAUAAGGGAUCGGAUAAAAAUAAGGAGGAUAAUAAGCUACCACGAUGCUUAAUAACGCAGGAGAAUAAUGAUAUCUUAAAUAAAAGUUAAAGUUUUUUUAAGAAACACGCUACUGUUGGUAUAACUGGGUGGUGGGUUAUAUUAGAAGAAAGCUUUAUCGUGCUUUUUUACGAAUCUGCUCUUAAUUUGGUUAUAUUUUAUAAUAAUUUUAUUUUAAAUCACUUGAAUAAUAUAGUCAUUUAUGUCUAAUUUAAUUUAAUUCCAAUUGAUUUACCAUGCAAUUUAGAGUAAGUAUAUACUAUGUAUAUUUUUUAAAUAGUAAUGUAUAAAUCAAAUAUAAUAGCUAUAUUUGCUGUUAAAAAGGUGUACGUAGUACAUAAUGAUCAAGGUUUUAGAUUAUUUAAGUUACAUAGAUGUCUCUUUGUUGUAUGUAAUAGGCGUGCAAAUAUUAGCUCUUAAUUGUUGCAAUACUACAUAUAAAAAUAAAUAUUUUAUUUUAAACUAAAAAUCAGUUUCUUUUUUCCAUGUUCCUGACACGAAUGUUAAAUAUGUCGACGGAUUUUCAACGAAAGGGGAAACAAGUAGCUUAAGUUAUUUUACCUCAUGCUUGAGGAGUGCACAUUAACCUCCGGGCUACCAUGACACUAACACCUUUAGUUAAGUCCUAAACUUAGAAAUGCUUUUGUUCAGCAUUAACAAAAAAACCUCAUGCUGUGUAUAUAUACGCUUCUUAUCCUAACCUCUUAGAAUAUGUACCAAAUUAUUUUACUCUUUUCCUAUUCCAAUAUGCUUGCGCUUUACGUGUGAAUGGCCUGACUGCAAAUGUUUAUUAGAACAUUUCUUCUUUCUUUAUAUUUAUAAUGCAAUGCAAUAACUAAUAUGAAAUUCAUACAUGAUAAAAACCAAAGAUAAUCGAUAUAAAUGUGAGUUUUUUUUAAUCAAUCCAUUUUUGUUUAUCCUUGAAAGUUUAUUAACAUUAACAUUUGUUUUAGCGAAACUAAUCACCUUACUCAAUGGGAAAAAGCGUCUUCUCUACGAGGGAUAUACGUACUAUGUGCGUUAUGAGUCUAAACACAAAAAUGAGACACACUGGGCCUGUUCACAAUAUCCUAAGUGCAAAGCCAAUCUUUACGCGAACAUUCACCACGUUGUAUCCAAAACGAUUGGAGAACACUGUCAUGGAAAAAAGAAGAUGUAUGUUAGUGCUUCGGGACUAUAUGUUGUAUACUAGUUCCUUUUAAAGCUCGCAGAAAGCCGCGGUAUAUAAGUCGCUUCUUAUCAAUAAUGCUGAUGUCAUUGAAGUAGCCAUAAGCUAAGUCAAUUUGUGACAUGAUUAUGAUUAAUAUCUAUAGGUAUAUUGCAAUUUAAAUAAAAUUAUGACUUUAUUUUUAUAUAGUAAUCUACCACAUACACACCUAAUUAUAGUGAUCAAAUGUCUGCCAUAAUGUCUAUAAGAAUACUAAGUCUACCUUGAAACGAAUAAAACGCUUUUUUUAAAAGUAACAGAAAGUAAUUUUCAUUAACAUGUGUUAUGAAUGUACUCCUGUAUUCUUUAGUCAAAAAUGUCUCAUUUAUUAUUUCUCUGUUGUCUGUCUGCUGUUUUUUGUUGUGUCUCUCUUUUAUGUAGGUACCAAAAGUUGCUAAAUUAAUGUAUAGAAUAAUAUUUUAAGUCAGUUUUAUUAUCGAAGAGAUGUGUUCAAUAUUCCAAAGACCCACCUCAUCAUAGGUGUAAUUUUAAAGGAUGCCCUAUAAAAAGCCACCGGCUUUAACAUCGUUCAAAUAUGCAAUGGAAAUAACUCCUUAUCCACGAGGUUUAAUCAUUUCAAUUAAAAAUGUCUUAAUACAGUAUUCCAUAUUUAUUUUUCAAAUAAAAUCAUUCAUUGCCAUACUCAGAGCCAUUUAAUCUUAAUCUUUAGUAAUAGUUUUUGGAACAAAAUCGUUACUCAAUGUCUGAGUACAGAAAUUACUCAUAAUCACAUAUAUUAUACUUUCUUAAUCAUUUAAUUUGUUUUAGUGCAAAUAAUAAGAGUGGAAGAUGGCAAAGAGUUUUUGAAAUACAACAACUAUUAUUAUACAAAAGUUCCGUAUCUUAAAAGGAAAUGGAGGUGUGUGAAAACGAAUACGUGUUAUGCCAGUAUUAGUAUAGAUGAUGAUGGGAGACUGAAGCAGUCUCGGAUCCAUGAUCAUCCACCUAAAGGGUUCCAUAAGACUAAGGAUGGGCAGUACAUUUGAAAAGACAUCUGUAGGUAGUCUCUACAUCAACAGCGUGUACCAACUCACUGUGGGACUUUAGCCCAUCAGGUCCCAUCAGGUUCAGAGAUUAAGGGGACUGGGAGUGCACCUGUGUUUGUAACACGUUUGUGCACUAUAAUAUCUCCUAGGUAGGGGCCUAGUUUAGUUAGACUUGACACAUAAUUGAAAUCGAUUGGGAGGCUUUAUAAAAGGACCCAAGACACACACAUUCUCUGAAAAUGUACUAUAAAAACCCUGACGAAAUGUAUAUUUGUAAUACAAGAAUUUUAUGGCAUGAGGACUGAAUGGAUGGCUAUUACAAAUGUGACUAUUAAUUAAUAAAUGACGUGUUAUGGCAAUAGAAGAGGAAGCUAGUGGUGUUUGUUUUAUUUUUUUUACUCGUAUUCUGCCUGUUCAAUGUGUUACCCUGAUUUGCAGGUCCUGUACCCUUAGUACAAGUUUCCUUUACGUUUAAAGUAAAUCAAACUUAUACUAAGAGUACCGAUCCUAUAUCCGCAUACCUCUAUUACUCCCUAUGUUAUUUUGUUAGCUUUUUUCUAUUCACUAAUUUAGUAACGGUAAAACGGGGUGAAUAAGGGUUCGAGUUCGAGUUCCUAUUCACCCCGUUUUACCGUUAUAUCAAAACAAAAAUUAUUAUUAAUUUCUGAAUUCUUUUUCAGGGGAAUUUAUCACUACAAUUCAAGAUAAAACUUUGUUUAGAUAUAAAAGUUAUUGUUACGCUAGAACCUCGAAAGACUAUAUUUGGCGAUGCGUUCAUACGAGUUCCUGUUACUCCUCCUUGAUCAUUGAUGGUCAAUGUAAUGUGAUUAAGCAACCGAAAGAACAUUUACAUCCACCCAAAGAAUAUAUUAAAACUCAAACCGGAAAAUACGUCUCUGUUACUAUUCCAAAACAAAAAUUGGCUAGCCAGUGGUAUGCUGGAGUGAAUAGAAAACAUACUGUCUCGCGUAAAACUACGCGAGACAAUAUGUUUUCUAUUGUGUCUCUUAUGCCGGAAGACAUGGUUAAACCCUAAUAAUGUGAAACUCAGUUAAGUUAACGAAUCCUCUUCUGUCAUUUAUUCUUACGAUCUAAGUAUAGUCGAAUUACAUAUUAUUAUAAUGUGUUUGUGUUUUUAUUUCCUACAUUUUAUUUAGUAAAUAUUUUAAAAACAUUUAUAUUUUAUUUUUAUUUAAAACCAAAUUUUCCAUAUUCCUCUUUUUACUUUAAGUUUUUUUUUUUAUUUUAGUGUUAAGUUUAAAAUUUUAUUUUACAUUACGAUCGAAACUGACGAUUAAAAUUUCUUUCAGUACAACUGAUAACGACGGUUCAGGACAAAUUGCUGUUGAAGUACAAAGGGCAUUAUUACUCGAAGACUCCAUACUUGAAGAAAAGGUGGCGUUGCAUCAAUACUAACAACUGCUACGUCGGUGUUAUUGUGAACAAUGACUUCUCUAUCAAGAAGGAACCUGGUGAACACUGUCAUCCACCGAAGUUCUUCGUGGAAACCGAGGAUGGCAGAUACAAACUUGUCAAAGAUAAGGAUUAUGGGAAUAAGUCCAGCGAUUAUAUCGUUUACGAAUACUAAUGUUUAAUGUAACAGUCUAACUGCCGCACUUAGAGACAUUUAAUGAUGACUUAAACUAUUCCUUAGUAACGAUUUUGUUCCGAAAACAAUUGCUAAGUACUGGUUUAAGUAACCAUUGAAUUACUCUGAGUACGGCGGUAAUUAUCGUAACUACAGAUGAUUUCUUGGUCGUCGUUUUUUGAAAAAGUUUUGUUCUUAGUUUGAUCUGUAUGUUGGUAUAUUUGUAAGCGAUUAUCUCGCGUUUGGCUGCACCGAUUUAGAUGCGGAUUCCAGCAUAGUUGUUUUCAGACUUAGGUGAAGGUUUAACGGAUAUUACCUGGCUUGAACAAAAAUGGAGGCGGAUGCCCUUUUUAAAAAGGGUUUUUGACAUAUCAACUGGUUUAAGAGGCAAUUUAAAAGAUAUAGGUACCAACAUGUUCAUUUCUAUUCGUAAUAAGAAACUUCAAAAUAGGUUCAGUUGACAGAAAAUUAUGUCUAUAAUUUGAGAAUCGACAAAACGCACUGAGCAACAUCUCUUUGUCUGUCUUCUCUAAACAAUUUAACCUUCUAAACGCCAGAACACAACAACUUUAUCUUAUACUAUUCAUUUAGGCAAAAACUUACUUCUUAUUUCAUAAUAAUAUUGACUUUAUACCUGCCUCGUUGGUCGAGUGGUUGCAAGUGCAACUGCCGGGCAAGAGGUUUCCGUUUCGAUUCCCGGGUCGGGCAAAGUAUUGCUUGGCCCUUUUCAUAUAUAUUUUUUUGCUGUAACGUGCACCUCCGCCUAUCCAUUCUGGGAUAAAAGGCGUGACGAUACGAUACGAUAUUGAGUUUUUGGUGAUAUUUGAAGAGUAUAUAUAUGUUAAGGACAUUUUUGAUGCUAAACGAUGAUCGAUUAUUAUUAUUUUUUGUUCGGUUAGACUGUUAUAAUUACCUAUCACAAUAUAAUUAACUUUAUAUUGAAAUAUUUUUAGCGAUACCUACAUAUAUAACGCUUAAAUAUUAUGUAGUUACUCUCUUACCUCUUAUAAUUAAGUAAUUUGGUAGUGGGGAAAAUAUCUUAGUAUAUAAUAUGUAUUUCUCUUUUUCUAAAUAAUGUGUGUUUAGGUUAGUUAUUAGUAAAAUGUAUACUACGCAUGCGUAGGAAGAUUUUGUCAAAUUAAUGACGAAUAGUAAUGUAGCAAUUAAUUAUGUAUGUGAGUUUAUUGUUAUGUUAUCGGCUUACUCACGUGAGUCGACUAGUUUCAAGCAAUGCUAGAGGCUCAUAUUAAUGAGCAGCAUUCCGCGACACACGACGCGGGAAUUGUCGCGCUGCUAUUGGCUACUACAAUCGUCGUUACGUCAGUAAGCCGAUAACAUAAUAAUUAAUUUAGUAUAUAUCACGAAGGUAAUAAUAAUAUGUAAUGAGUUAAAUAAUAACCUUUCAAUUGGAAUUGUGUUGUUAUUUAUUUAAGUAAUGUGUUUUAAUUAUUUCUUUGUUAUAAAUAUCUUUUGUUUCAUUACACGUUGGUUCAGUACUCGAAAUGUAACGGUUGCUGUGCAACCUGAUAUUUCUUUUUAACCGACUUCCCAAAAAGGAGGAGGUUCUAAAUUCGGCCGGUAUGUUUUUUUUUUCUAUGUAUGUACACCGAUUACGCCGAGGUUAAUGGACCGAUUUGCGUGAUUCUUUUUGUCUUUGACGCGCAAUUUCUCAACUGAGGUCCCAUUUCAAAUUUUUGAACAAUGCAUUAUCUAAACUGCAAUUUGUGCGAGAAAUUAAAACUACCUACUAUAAUAUAAUAUCCCUUAUAUAAAAUGAUUUAAAUAAAAUAUCCCUGAUUAAAAAGGUUUUCUCAUAAAAUAAUUGGUACUGAGCAACGGUUUUGAAGCUGUAUCUCUUUGUCAUUACAAUAUGUAUAAUAUGAGAUUAUAUGCACUUAUAUUAUUAAAUUUGAGUAAAAUUAAGUAACAUAACCAUAUCUACAUAUUUGUAGCUAAACUUGUAUAGUUCUCGUCAUAUUAAUGUGCGUGUGCAGAUUACAAAGAAAAAAAAAAUGUUUUUUAUAAUAACAAUUUAAAGUUUCCUGGGGUCUGAUGGACCCUACCCGACUAUAUACAGGUUAACGUACCACAUUUUUGAUGUCGAGAAUUAUACAAACAACUUCUUUCUUAUAAAAAUUUCUAAUUAUAAUAAUGUCAUGAUAUUAAUGUCUUCUGUAACGAUUAGUGCACAUAAUCUAGUGCUAAACUGUUUAGAUACUAGAAUUCUAGAUGGAUAAAUUAUUUGUGAACUUUAGUACAUAGGUGACGUAGUUAUAAGAAAAUCGCUUUCGGCUUUUGUUUUAAAAUUUUAAGCAUUCGUUCUUCAGUACCCUUAGUACGAGUUUGCUUUACGUUGAACGAAAACGAAAAGAGAGUGCGUCCGGUGCUCCUAUUGGUUAGUUCAUUCGCGCUGGCCAAUCAGAGUGCCGAACGCGCUCUUGUUUCGUUUUCGUUCAACGUAAACUCGUUCUAAGGUUACUAACAAAUGUUAGGUUUACUGUAAAAUUUUUUGCUUAAUAUUUUAUUAUUUUUCUCUGAAUUUUGUGGAAAUGUAACAUAAUAAUCUUUGUUAUAGAUACCUCUAUAAUAUCUAAGAGUAAUAUGAUCUACCUGUACCUUCAUCACAACUGAGGCUAGUUUUAGGCAAAAAAUUACGGUAAACCAAAACGCUUUUGAUUUAAUUAAAUUAAUUUAGUUAUCGACUGUGCGGCCAACUUAGUUUUUUUUUAUUUUUAAUAAUUAAUAACUGGAAAUACCUAUUUUAUCAAAGUAUUGUAUCAAUUUCUUUUGAGAAUUUUUGACAAAAAAGUAAUAUGAUUUUGCGUAAUUGGUCUCGCAGUCUUAAUUGUAUUCUUUUAUUUUUUGGUGUAAUAAAGUGUUAAGUAAC